GGGUUAAAUGAGUUAUGGUUGA
rnacentral:siRNA from 1 species